CGGGCCGUGUACUCCCAGAGGGCGUCCCCCUCGACGAGGGAGUGGUCACCGAAGUAGGCCCCGUCGGCGUGCACCCCGAGCACCGUCUCGUCCCCGUAGGGGCCGGUGCCGAUCUUCUCGACCUUGCCGCGCGCCAACAGGAAGACCCGGUCCGCCGCGUCACCGGCCGUGGCCAGGAGCUGUCCGGCGGGAACGUCACGCUGCUCGCACCUGCGGGCCAGCUCCGCGAGCGCCUCCUCGUCCCCGAAGUCCCGCAGGGCCGGGAGUUCACCGAGCUCGGCGGGGAUGACCGCCACCCGGUCUCCGGUCUGUACGAAGGUCACCCGGCCGUCGCCGACCGAGUAGCUCAGCCUGCGGUUCACCCGGUAUGUGCCGCCCUGCACCUGGACCCACGGAAGCAUCUUCAGCAGCCACCGCGAGGUGAUCUCCUGCAUCUGCGGGGCGGACUUGGUGGUCGUCGCGAGGUUCCGCGCGGCUGCCGUGCCAAGACUCUGCUGCGGCGGCAC
rnacentral:antisense_RNA from 1 species